CCCCAGAGUAAUGGACAAGCGGAAAGGGCCAACCAGGGGGUGGAGACCAUGCUGCGCUGUAUGGCUACUCAACAGCCCAACUCCUGGUGCAUGUUCAUCCCAUGGGUGGAGUACUCCUUUAAUUCCAUGACCUGCGCGGCUACUGGUAUGUCCCCUUUUGAAUGCUUGCAGGGUUUUCAACCUCCUUUGUUUCCCUCUCAGGAGAUCAAAGUGGCAGUCCUUUCCACCCGAGCCCACCUGAGAAGAUGCCGCAAAAUGUUGAAGUCUGCCCAGCGGCCUUAUUGAAGGCAUCUGAGAAGAUGCAUCGUAACGCCAACCGGCGGUGCAUCAUGGCUCCCAACUAUCAACCCGGACAGCAGGUGCUGCUACGGGCCAAGGACCUCCACCUCUUGAUAUCCUCUCAGAAGCUAGCACCACGUUUUGUUGGACCUUAUACGGUCAAAUCCAGGGUCAAUCCUGCCUCAGUUUGCCUAGACCUCUCUCGUUCCAUGAGAUCCCACCCGGUGUUCCACGUGUCUCAGGUAAAGCCAGUAACGAACAGUUACUCCUGCCCCCCCUCCACUUAGGAUCCUGGAGAAUGGGGACCAGGUGUGGACUGUGAGGAGGAUUCUCAAGGUCCGACGACAGGAAGGAGGAUGGGUAUACCUCGUGGACUGGGAGGGCUAUAGACCGGAGGAUAGAUCAUGGGUCCCGACUUCUUACAUUGCCGACCCCUCCCUUAUUGAGGACUUCUAUCGAACUCACCCCCUGGCACCCCGAGGCUCGUCGGGAGUCUCGCAUGGAGGCGGGGGGUGCUGUUAUGGGUAAGACUUCCGCUGCUUCUCCCUCUUUUGCACGCCCUCACGAGCGCGUCGCGGACCACGCCCACAAGCGCUCCCUCUCCGUGCGAGCGCGCUUCAGCGCGGCUGCAAACACUCCGCAAUCAACCCACCUGUCCUUGAUGAUCGAUCGGCCUUCAUAAUCCAGCACAAACUUAGACCUGACGCCAGAACAUAGCUUCACGUACGCUAUACACUCCCCGUCGUCAUUCCUCGUUGUUGAAUUGUGUGUCUCAUCAACCUAAAAACCCCCGUGGAUCUUCCCCCGCCUCCCUGGACAUCGACAUCACGCCUGCCUACCAACCAAGACGCCACGCUCCUCCCCUUGAUCCUCCGCCUGUCCUCCGACACUCGAGCCUGCCUUACCCAAAUUGGAAACCUCUGCCUGGAUCAACACGCACCAUCAACACUUUCAGAUCUCCACGCUCAGAUAAGUCUCACACCUAGUACAUUUCAUCUCUUUGGGUUAAUUACACACCACACACACAUUUCUUGUUUCCAAUAAAUACGCUGACAGCUGA